UGGAGGUAGUGACAAUAAAUCACAAUGCGGAACUUUUGUUUUGCAAUUGGAUUGAGAACAACGCACAACACUUAUCGAUAAACAAUUGGAGGGCAAGUCUGGUGCCAGCAGCCGCGGUAAUUCCAGCUCCAAUAGCGUAUAUUAACGUUGUUGCAGUUAAAAAGCUCGUAGUUGAAGUGAAGUAAUGAAGUUGUGACUUGAUUUAUCAUUUCGCUCCUUAAUUACUCUUUCCAAACUGUUUGCACGGGUAUUCAUUUACUUGUGUAUUGCAUUUGGUCGUUUACUGUGAGAAAAUUAGAGUGUUCAAAGCAUACGUUUGUUUGAAUACAUUAGCAUGGAAUAAUUCGAAAAGGCUUUCAUGUUCGAUUUGAUUGGUUUGUUCGUGAGAGCAAGAUUAAAAGGGACAGUUGGGGGUAUUCAUAUUCAAUAGUCAGAGGUGAAAUUCUCGGAUUUAUGGAAGAUGAACAAGUGCGAAAGCAA
rnacentral:rRNA from 1 species